AGUGAACGCUGGCGGUAGGCCUAACACAUGCAAGUCGAACGGCAGCACAGUAAGAGCUUGCUCUUACGGGUGGCGAGUGGCGGACGGGCGAGGAAUACAUCGGAAUCUACUUUUUCGUGGGGGAUAACGUAGGGAAACUUACGCUAAUACCGCAUACGACCUACGGGUGAAAGCAGGGGAUCUUCGGACCUUGCGCGAUUGAAUGAGCCGAUGUCGGAUUAGCUAGUUGGCGGGGUAAAGGCCCACCAAGGCGACGAUCCGUAGCUGGUCUGAGAGGAUGAUCGGCCACACUGGAACUGAGACACGGUCCAGACUCCUACGGGAGGCAGCAGUGGGGAAUAUUGGACAAUGGGCGCAAGCCUGAUCCAGCCAUACCGCGUGAGUGAAGAAGGCCUUCGGGUUGUAAAGCCCUUUUGUUGGGAAAGAAAAGCAGCAGGUUAAUACCCCGCUGUUCUGACGGUACCCAAAGAAUAAGCACCGGCUAACUUCGUG
rnacentral:rRNA from 1 species